CGUUAUUACCCUAGGGGCAGAUGGCAUUAACCCCUUAUGCCCGUGAUGCCAGGGCAUGGUUUUACCUCUACUCCACCCGAAGAAGUAUCAAGCAAUACAAAUCAUUACCAUGAAGCAGAGAACUCAAGAGAGAGGACGUGGAGUCCCAUUACUGCAGUUUCCCCAAUGAAGUCAACCUAAUAACUAGGCUGGACUCCAACAGCUGAGAAUCAUAAGUGGGUUGGGAUCAGUUCACACCAUGUGCAGUUUUGAUGCUUUCUCUUGUGAAAAGUGCAUUUUUUAGGGGAAUACUGUGGUACGGCGAAAGUAAUUAGACCUUUUAUCAAGAUGGAGGUGUUUUAUAAAGAUUU